rnacentral:RNase_MRP_RNA from 2 species
GCAUUGAGUGAGGAAUCGCUGUCGCAGCUACACGAACAGAAAGCCAUUCACUGGACUUUCGUACUGAUUGCUGUGGGGAAAGUCCCCGGAGACACAGAGACAGUCACCGUGCACGCCCAUCUCCUGCUAGGAGAGCGCCCAGCUCAAAGAAUGCUGAGGAUAUGUGGGAGGAAAUGUCGCGGCGUGCGCGGUGCGGAUGAGGUCGUUUUUACUCGGUAUCUGUUCCCUUUGACGCUGUCAAGGGGUCUGAUACUGGUAUCACCCUCGUCCACUCUGUCGCCCGCUUCCAUCGGUGCGCCUUCUCUACCCGUUCUCUCUCCCGAAAGGGCUUUGAGAUGGGACAUGGCACCCUCUGCACCAAGAUAUGAGUGUAGAGCGGUGCCGGAGACGUCCUGUGCAUCGAAUCGGGCGUACCCGUUGCUCAUAGACAGAGUUAUGCGAUUGAUGGCACCUUAGUUGCCAUUCAACGGAAUGGGGCUUACCAUCACUUAAUG